CCAGUCUCGGGUAUUUUUUCAUAGCGGUAUGAAAAUGGACUAAUACACCUGGCAUACGUGAUAUGUAACUAUAUAUACAAGACUGGGUACGCCUUCAUCCACUGUAACAGCAAAUCAUGGUUGACGUGACAGAACCAACUAGCAGCACAUAAAGUCACCCACUAAAUGUCGCAUCAAUAUGCAGGACUGAGCCACUGAAUGAUUAAAGCCAGACCUGCAAGUAGAGUGGGCUCCUUUCAGGUAAGAGCAUCAAGGGCUGAACGCUUUGCACUGUUAAGUAUGAUCUAUUAAAUUUUCUGAAACCCACCGUUUUUGUUGACUCGCUAGGUCUAAAGCACAGCGCUGGAGGAAUGAGACCAGUGUCAGAAGAGAAGGCAGCAUGGGAGAUACCAGAGAUGGGGAGGGCAAGAGGCAGCCCACAGUAGCAGGUGGUAGGUGGUGUGCAGACACAGGGCAGAGCCUGCAAGUCUUGGUGCAACUCCUGUCCCAUAUUUCACCGAGUUCCAAUCAAGUCUGUUUUAAAGCAGAAUUCAACUGAUGUGUAUAAAUUAUAUUUUAUUCACAGUAGGCCUAGAAGAAGCUCCGCAGUCUGACCAACUUUAUGGUUCAUGUAUCUAAGGCACGUUUCAGUGUCUCCUGUUCCCUUUGUAGCAAGGUUUUCAAAGAGCCCCUUGCAUUUUUUUUUUUUUAAAGAGAUGGAAUCUUGCUCUAUCACCCAGGCUGGAGUGCUAUGGCACGAUCAUCACUCACUGUGGCCUCAAGCAGUCCUCCCGCCUCAGCCUCCCCAAUAGCUGGGAUUACAGGUGCAAGCCACCACAUGGCGUCCACUGCUUUUAUUAAGAACUGGAAGGCAUCUGGAUCAGUCUCCUUUUUCAAUACACACAAAGAGAAGCUUAGAAAGGAAAGGCAAAGGGGAAAUUGCAUCCAUGGGGCAUUUAUUAUGGGUAACUUAAAUCAUAAUUUAUGAUCAUAGGUAAUUGUAUAUAUAUCUUCACACAAUGGGGCAGGUGAUACUAUCUUCAUUUUAUUAUAUAGAGGGAAAAAUAAGGUUCAGGGUUACACAGCUGGUUAAUGAACAAGAUCUGUGCCCCAUCUGAGGUGCUAAGUCUGUCCUAGCUAAGCCAAUGCUAUCCUUUUCUGGACUUGAGGACGUAGAUGAUGCUACUGAAUAUGCCCUGGAUGGCUAUUUGCUCAUAGGUUCUUUAGAAAUUAACAUGACAACUGAAUGCUGAUUUUGUUCUCAUAUAAUUGACAUUACUAACAUUUAAAAGCCUCAAAUGUUUGCUAUUCAAUAUUUUAUGAAUAUUUUUAUGAAAGAAUACAUUAGGUUUCUUUUAUGGUUACGAGAAACCAGGUUAAUUAGAUUUGUACAAUGAACAAAAGUCUGGCCAGUGUGCUGGAGCCAGGGAAUCCCUAAUGUAACAGACUGUCUCCAACUUUCAGCUCUGCUUUCCAGAAUAUGGGCAUCAUUCUCAAGCAAGCUCUCCACACGUGGAGGCCAAGAUUCCCCCAUGGCGCUAGAAUCCCAUCUUUCUUCCAGCUCCACAGCCCCAGCAAAAGUCCCUGGACACAUGGGAUUGGCCAUCUUGAGUCACAAGUCCGUUCCUGAUCCAAUUACUCCAGAUCCUGGGGCUGCCCCUGAUGGGGAGGGAGGGAGCAGAUAGGAAGUUCUCCAAAGGGAGGCGGAAAAUGCCCGAUGUCUCCUCCAGGGUUCCCUCAUUCAUCCACCCUGAAUGAAGACAGAUACUCACCUGGUCAUGGCCUGAGAUCCAACCAAAGCCUGAGAGGUGACUCAGCCACCAGAUACUCAGGUGACUUAGCCACAAGACACUCAGGGUUCAUUAGAAUUGUCUAGUCCCAGCUCUGCUUCCUCCAAGCUGUGAGACCUCGAGGCACUGCAGUAACGCCUCUGAGUCUUCCUGUUCUCAUUUGAAGGACAGGACUAAUACCUGUCCUUCCUGCCUCAUGGGGUUGUUACAAGGAUCAAAUGAAGUGGUGCUCUUGACCAGUGGCAAGAACUUCAGAAAUGUGGGUUGUAAUGAUUUGUAUUUGUUAGCAGUAAAUAAAAGUGCUUGGAACCAACUGGCAGCCUCUGGGGCAAUUAAGUGUAGAAAAUAAAACCCAUGCCUUUUGGAAACUAGCAUUCUUCCACAUAUAUUGCUUCCAGACUACUAAAUGGAAGUUGUUUCUGGAAGAUUGAUAGAUUUAAAAAUUUUGGCCUUAGAGCCCCUUUUUGCAUCCCACAGAAAGGGGCUCCGCUCACAAGGAAGUCUUCACCCCUAGACUGAGCCUCCCAGCAGCACACCCUGAACAACUCUGCAGAGCUAACCAGUGCACUUCCUGUCCUGCAAGUACCGUUACUGAUACCUGCUGCCUCCCAGAAAGAAGUGGCAGCAUCUGAUUGGUGGGGUUGGGGGAAUUAGGGAAUGCAUGUUAAUGUGAACCCCAAGAGUGAGUUGAUAGCUGGUGAAGAGGGAGAAGGUAGAGGUGAGGGCCUUUAGGUUGGCCGGCUGGGCUGGCCUCGCAGUCAGUAAAGCCCCUCAUGCAGAGCCACUCAUCUCCUGCUGGGAACCGCUGACCUUUUGGUUCAGAUGCCUGAUGUAAACUCACCGAUAUGGGAGGGGAGGAUCUCAAUGGGUAGGAGGAAGCAGGGAAAGUUACUAGGACAGAUAGAUUCUAAGGCUUAUCUGAAAGGAAGGAAGGAGUUGUGAUGUGCUACCUGGGAGGUCCAAGGGAGAAGGGCCUGGGCAGUGUGCACCACUGGUGAGGGUGUGAAAAAUGGGCUGGUGACUGGCCACCGAAUGGCUUGGGGAGAAGUGGCCGGAGAGAGGGUCACCUGUGUGGUGGGAAGGGUCAGACAAGUGUUUUUACAUGUUAUGAGAAUGUCUACGUUUGACACAAGAAACUCCUAAGUUUGCAAAGAAAGGAUACACAGCCACCUUCCUUCGAUAUCAGAAACAACAUGCUGGGGAUUAAAAAUAAUUACUUGGCCAAGAACCUUACCAUUUACCAGAAUGCAUCCAUGCAGUAAAUAUUUGGAUGUCUAUUACGUGCCUGGCAUGUCCCAUUUCACCCACAGGACGAAGUCCAUUUUAUAAAUGAAGAAACUGAAGCUCAAAAGUAUGUGAAUCUGUCUGAGGUUUCAGUCUUCUUAAAGAUGAGAGCAAACUUCUGCUUCUUGUUCUCCUCUAAUACCAUAGCACACUCAAGAAAUGAGCAUCUUUAGUUGUGCUUGGAUUGGCCGAAUCUGCCUUUAGGUAGAGGAGCAGACUUAAUGGCUUUAAUGAGCCACUUAACUACUUUCUAGAGACAACCUGGAGAUGCUUUUGAAGAGCCCAGUCUGAGACCUGGUUCCAUUUUUCCAUUCCUUCUGUGUCCCUGCCCCCAACCCCCACCCCCAGAACACAUUUGGCAGUGAAGGGGCUCCAAUUCCUGUUCUUGGGAGUGGCACCCACUUGUGCUCAAAGUAGACUUAAGUGGCUUGAAAGUUAAGUGCAAGGGUCGGGAGAAGGACUUGACUGCAUGAGGGAACUUUUAGAGGUUAUAGAAAUGUUUCUACCGUAAUUGUGGCAUUUGUAACAUUUAAUAAAACUUGAAUUAUAUACUAAAUUGGUAAUUUUUAUUGGAUGUAAAUUAUAGUUCAAUAAAGCUGAUUUUUAAAACACUCAA